GAUGAACGCUGGCGGCGUGCCUAAUACAUGCAAGUCGAGCGAACAGACGAGGAGCUUGCUCCUCUGACGUUAGCGGCGGACGGGUGAGUAACACGUGGAUAACCUACCUAUAAGACUGGGAUAACUUCGGGAAACCGGAGCUAAUACCGGAUAAUAUAUUGAACCGCAUGGUUCAAUAGUGAAAGACGGUUUUGCUGUCACUUAUAGAUGGAUCCGCGCCGCAUUAGCUAGUUGGUAAGGUAACGGCUUACCAAGGCGACGAUGCGCAGCCGACCUGAGAGGGUGAUCGGCCACACUGGAACUGAGACACGGUCCAGACUCCUACGGGAGGCAGCAGUAGGGAAUCUUCCGCAAUGGGCGAAAGCCGGACGGAGCAACGCCGCGUGAGUGAUGAAGGUCUUCGGAUCGUAAAACUCUGUUAUUAGGGAAGAACAAAUGUGUAAGUAACUAUGCACGUCUUGACGGUACCUAAUCAGAAAGCCACGGCUAACUACGUG
rnacentral:rRNA from 1 species